rnacentral:tRNA from 1 species
CUAUACCUGGCAUCUGGUUCA